rnacentral:rRNA from 1 species
GACGAACGCUGGCGGCGUGCUUAACACAUGCAAGUCGAACGGUGACCCUCGGAGCUUGCUUCGGGGUGAACAGUGGCGAACGGGUGAGUAACACGUGAGUAACCUGCCCCUGACUCUGGAAUAAGCGCUGGAAACGGCGUCUAAUACCGGAUACGACACGCCUCCGCAUGGGGAGCGUGUGGAAAGUUUUUCGGUCUGGGAUGGACUCGCGGCCUAUCAGCUUGUUGGUGAGGUAAUGGCUCACCGAGGCGAUGACGGGUAGCCGGCCUGAGAGGGCGACCGGCCACACUGGGACUGAGACACGGCCCAGACUCCUACGGGAGGCAGCAGUGGGGAAUAUUGCACAAUGGGCGAAAGCCUGAUGCAGCGACGCCGCGUGAGGGAUGACGGCCUUCGGGUUGUAAACCUCUUUCAGCAGGGAAGAAGCGAAAGUGACGGUACCUGCAGAAGAAGCACCGGCUAACUACGUGCCAGCCGCCGCAGUAACAC